rnacentral:rRNA from 1 species
AGUGAACGCUGGCGGUAGGCCUAACACAUGCAAGUCGAACGGCAGCACAGUAAGAGCUUGCUCUUACGGGUGGCGAGUGGCGGACGGGUGAGGAAUACAUCGGAACCUACUUUUUCGUGGGGGCUAACGUAGGGAAACUUACGCUAAUACCGCUUACGACCUACGGGUGAAAGCAGGGGAUCUUCGGACCUUGUGCGUUUGAAUGAGCCGUUGUCGGAUUAGCUAGUUGGCGGGGUAAAGGCCCACCAAGGCGACGAUCCGUAGCUGGUCUGAGAGGAUGAUCAGCCACACUGGAACUGAGACACGGUCCAGACUCCUACGGGAGGCAGCAGUGGGGAAUAUUGGACAAUGGGCGCAAGCCUGAUCCAGCCAUACCGCGUGGGUGAAGAAGGCCUUCGGGUUGUAAAGCCCUUUUGUUGGGAAAGAAAAGCAGCAGGUUAAUACCCCGCUGUUCUGACGGUACCCAAAGAAUAAGCACCGGCUAACUUCGUG